GGUGAAAAGAGGAGCUGCAGCAAUGAGAGAGCAAUGUGCAGUACAACAAAAAUAUGGUGUUUUUCUGAAAAUUAAACCACGUAAACCUAUUCUGGUACAACCUCAAAAUACAAUUAUGAACCUGAAAAUGAGGAUAAUAUGGGCGCUUUAAAAUUAU